GGCUGCGCGCCUGCGCCUCCGCUGCUGCCUCCAGCGGGAGGCCGCGCCGGGCUCCGCCGCUCGGGGGGCGCCGAGGCUGUGGCAGCAUGCUGCUGUGCAACAUGUUAGUACGAGCUGCACAAUAAGCAGAAGUAAAACCUCCACAUCCUGCAGGUCAUUUCAAUUGGAUUUUGUAUGAAGAGUCAUCUGCAAGGUGGGUGCUGCCACUAAGAGUCUCUGGGCUGCCAUGCUCUCUGCCUUCCCUUUAGACUGUUUUCUCUGGCUCAAAGGUAUCUGUCAGUAAGAGCAUCCAGGGACUUACCCUGACUUGUACCGCUGAAGUAACCAGAAAGGCAAGUAGAAUAUGCAGUUUGUUUAGGAAAAAAAAGGGGGGGGGUAUGGCUAUGCACUUUUGUAUGCUGGAGAGGAUGGCGGAACUGCCUUUGCUCCUUUCAGAAAGCUGACUUGAAAAACUCAGAAGAAAUACUGGAAAGAAAUCUGCUCCUUGUUCCUGUUGGAAUAUCGCUCGCUAGAUUAAUGACCACCAUUGGAGACUAUUAUAAGGCCUCUUCUUUAAAUGUUUACUUCUCAAAACCACAGGAAUAGAUUUUAAAAUCUGUUAAGAUUUUAUUUUGAACUUCAUCUGAUAUCACCUGUUAGCAGAGCAGGAGUGUGUGAUUGUGGAGGUCUCUCUCAUCCUUUAAUUGCACGACAGGACAGUGUGUGAUAGGUACAGUACCCCUUCGUAUUUCAAAGUGGCUUGGGAAAAGAAAGGUUUAAAAAUCUUGUGUCUGUUCAGAGAAUGUGCUGUAAACAAUUCAAAUGCCAUAAAAUCUCCCCCUUAUAAAAUGAUUCAUGUAACCUGUCUGGACAGUGGUAGCAGCUAGGAAAAAGGACAGAACCAAGAAAAUGUAACUUUUCAGGUCUUCAAGCCUCCUUGAAUGACCAACUUUACUUCCUUAAAGCUUCAAGUAAGAUGUGUUAAUUAUACAUAUAUGAAAAAAAAUAUUUUUUAUCUUCCCUACAAGCUCUUGGCUUGUACAGAAACCUUGAGCAAGUAGCUCUUAGGCAGAGAGCGCUGCUUUUCACGUUGACCACCACCCUCUAGCUGUUUCCCAUCUGUUGUUUGUAAACACCUCAUGUCUUGUGCUGCUGAUGUUGUUAGCUCCUUGCAAAACAAGCUCUAUUUUCUUAUGUUUGCACACUGCUUCAAAGCAGCAGGAAAACUGGCCAGGACUGAAUCCUAUGCAAUGCCAGAAUAUAUUUUCUUUCUUGCUGGGGAUUUCAAUUAGUGAAACAUACAAGAGGUAAACAAUUAUGUUGCAAGCUAUAGGACAACAUAGUACAUAUGUACACAGAGAAUGUGUUCAGGUACCUUGCCUAUGUGGAGAACAACAGGAUGAGUAAAAGAGACCAAACGAGAGAGAUGGGCUGAUCAUGUAAGAGAGGGGACAGGAGGUGUGAGAGCACCUAGGCAGAAAGUGCACAGAUAAAAAUUGCAGGAAGUAUUUUUGGCUCAUUCCUCUGCAGAGCUAGCUGAAGUUCCUCUGGCACUGUUCAGUCCCUUUCUUUUCCUUACCAAAGAAAAGCUUAGGGAGAAAGAUUAAUAUCUGAACCCUAAUAACUGCCACAGAGGAAGAAUCACUCCCUUCACAAUUUUCAGUCUGUGGAACAGAAGGGUUGUUCUGUGCUGCCAUGGCUUCCAAAUGUGGUUCAGUAAGUAUUCCUCCAUUUAAGAAAACAGCCAGUGGACUUGCUUCACUUCAGGAAAAUGACUGUCCUCAACCUUCUGCUCUUUCAAUCAUUGCAUCCUGCUGUGCUUUCUCUACAUAUAAGGUGGGAUGGAAGUCUGUCUGGUACUUGCUCAUCCAUGUGAAAAUCGGAUUCUUCUCCUGAAUCAUAGCCCUUCUCUGCAGUGUCCUUUAAAAGCGUUGGGCUAAAUUUUGGUUCUUACUCAGGCCCUGUUAUACAAAUUCGUGUUGUCUUUUUGAAACUUUUAGUAGACAAAACACGACAAAGAAUAUCUAUAUCCAACAUUGUGUCUUGAUAAUCUGGAGAUAACUAGCUGUAGGACUGUUGUUCAAAAAAAAAAAAAAAGGGGGCUUUUUAACCUUUGUUUGCUUAUAAUGCCUAGUUUAUACUGCUUUAAAGAUUCUCAGUAUUUAAUUAAGAUUUAAAACAGAUACGUGUGAUAUAUUACUUGCUAAACACUUUUUAUCAGGAAAAAUGCUAUUACUUAUAUAUUUUCUAUCUUGUAGGCACAAAGUCAUGAGGAGAUACAAUCAAGAUUUGUUUCAAACACAGUGAUGAUAACAGAAAAUACCUCCCGCAUCCUAAAGUAUGUAAAGUUUCUAAUUUAUUUAUUUUUCUAUUGACAGAAGUCCAAGAUGAUGCAUCUCUCCCUUUACACCAGCAGAAAUGCACAAGAGACUUAUAACUAAGACAUAGCCUGAAGAAAGUUAAUAAGGUUGUUAGUAGUCUGUAUCACUAAUGAAAAGACUAUGGAUGAUUCUAGUUUUUUCCUUCAGGCCUCGAUGAAACCUGCAAAUGUCAGAAAGUUGAUUUUUCUGCAGGACCAGCAGCUAUUAGUAAAAAAGAGGAGAAAAAUGGAGAAAAAAAUAGAGAAAGCCACUGACAAGAACUGCUACUAAUCUAAGAACUGCUACACUGUUGUGACUAAUCCGUUGCAAGCUUACAUUUGCUUGCAUCUUAAUGGAUCUUUUAACCUAAUUUACUGAGUCUAUUUCUUUUUAAUUAACUUUCAUAAAAGUUCAGGUAUUUUUUCAUGAAAUACACGAUCAUCUAAGAAAGCUAAUAUCAUCUACAGUAGCAAUACAGCAAUGUGGAAUUCAGGUUUUUUGAUUAAAAAUAGAUGCAUAAAUCAUAAGAAAUAAACCUGAAGCAUCUCAUACCCUU